rnacentral:rRNA from 1 species
UGCAAGUCGAGCGGCAGCGCGGGGCAACCUGGCGGCGAGCGGCGAACGGGUGAGUAAUAGAUAGGAACGUAUCCGGGAGUGGGGGAUAACUAGCCGAAAGGUUAGCUAAUACCGCAUAUUCUCUACGGAGGAAAGCGGGGGACCUGUAAGGGCCUCGCGCUCGCGGAGUGGCCUAUCUCCGAUUAGCUAGUUGGUGGGGUAAAGGCUUACCAAGGCGACGAUUGGUAGCUGGUCUGAGAGGAUGAUCAGCCACACUGGGACUGAGACACGGCCCAGACUCCUACGGGAGGCAGCAGUGGGGAAUUUUGGACAAUGGGGGCAACCCUGAUCCAGCCAUGCCGCGUGCGGGAAGAAGGCCUUCGGGUUGUAAACCGCUUUUAUUCGGGAAGAAGGAGUGCUGGUUAAUACCCGGCAUGACGGACGGUACUGGAUGAAUAAGCACCGGCUAACUACGUGCCAGCAACCGCGGUAAUACGUAGGGUGCGAGCGUUAAUCGGAAUUACUGGGCGUAAAGCGUGCGUAGGCGGUUGGCAAAGUCAGCUGUGAAAGCCCCGGGCUCAACCUGGGAAUUGCGGUUGAAACUAGUCGACUAGAAUCUGGCAGAGGGGGGUGGAAUUCCACGUGUAGCAGUGAAAUGCGUAGAGAUGUG